GACGAACGCUGGCGGCGUGCUUAACACAUGCAAGUCGAGCGGUAAGGCCCUUUCGGGGGUACACGAGCGGCGAACGGGUGAGUAACACGUGGGUGACCUGCCCUCAGCUCUGGGAUAAGCCUGGGAAACUGGGUCUAAUACCGGAUAUGACUCCAUGACGCAUGUUGUGGGUGGAAAGCCUUGUGCGGCUGAGGAUGGGCCCGCGGCCUAUCAGCUUGUUGGUGGGGGAUGGCCUACCAAGGCGACGACGGGUAGCCGGCCUGAGAGGGCGACCGGCCACACUGGGACUGAGACACGGCCCAGACUCCGUACGGGAGGCAGCAGUGGGGAAUCUUGCGCAAUGGGCGAAAGCCUGACGCAGCGACGCCGCGUGAGGGA
rnacentral:rRNA from 1 species